rnacentral:rRNA from 1 species
UGCCAGCAGCCGCGGUAAUACGAAUGGAGCAAGCGUUGUUCGGAAUCACUGGGCUUAAAGCGUGCGCAGGCGGACUUGAAAGUCAGGAGUGAAAUCCCAGGGCUCAACCCUGGAACUGCUUCUGAAACUCCAAGUCUAGAAUCCGAUAGAGGUUAGGGGAAUUCCUAGUGUAGAGGUGAAAUUCGCAGAUAUUAGGAGGAACACCAGUGGCGUAGGCGCCUAACUGGGUCGGUAUUGACGCUCAUGUACGAAAGCGUGGGGAGCAAACAGGAUUAGAUA